rnacentral:piRNA from 1 species
UGGUAUGGGAUUGUCUAAACAUGACUAGC